rnacentral:rRNA from 1 species
GCAUGCAUAAAGAGUUUAAAGCCGCUUUCGGUGUCCCUGAUGGAUGGACCCCCCGGUGCAUUAGCUAAUUGGUGAGGUAACGGCUCACCAAGGCCACGAUGCAUACCGACCUGAGGAGGGUGAUCGCCACACUGGGACUGAGGACACGGCCCAGACUCCUACGGGAGGCACAGUAGGGAAUCCUCGGCAAUGGACGAAAGUCUGACCGAGCAACGCCGCGUGAUGAAGAAGGUUUUCGGAUCGUAAAACUCUGUUGUUAGAGAAGACAAGGACGUUAGUAACUGAACGUCCCCUGACGGUAUCUAACCAGAAAGCCACGGCUAACUACGUGCCAGCAGCCGCGGUAAUACGUAGGUGGCAAGCGUUGUCCGGAUUUAUUGGGCGUAAAGCGAGCGCAGGCGGUUUCUUAAGUCUGAUGUGAAAGCCCCCGGCUCAACCGGGGAGGGUCAUUGGAAACUGGGAGACUUGAGUGCAGAAGAGGAGAGUGGAAUUCCAUGUGUAGCGGUGAAAUGCGUAGAUAUAUGGAGGAACACCAGUGGCGAAGGCGGCUCUCUGGUCUGUAACUGACGCUGAGGCUCGAAAGCGUGGGGAGCAAACAGGAUUAGAUACCCUGGUAGUCCACGCCGUCCCACCGAUGAGUGCUAAUUGUUGGAGGUUUCCGCCCUUCAGUGCUGCAGCAACGUCAUUAAG